GUCGCUUAGGGAUUCUAGCACCAACGCCAACCACCAUCGGAGACUGCCAUCCGCAAGCGCCAGCAUCGCCAUAACUACCGAAUCACCUCGGGCUGGUGGGAGUGGGCGUUGCUAGGACCAUUAAACAGUCCGAUGCGAGCCAUAUAUUUGAUAUUAAGCAAGUUGUCUGUGGAUGUUCAAUACCCACCUAAUUUGAGCUCCCCGUUUCCUUAUGCAGGUGCCAUAUAAUAAUGUUUGUGAACUAUGGACCU